rnacentral:rRNA from 1 species
GAUGAACGCUGGCGGCGUGCCUAAUACAUGCAUGUCGAGCGAACGGACGAGAAGCUUGCUUUUCUGAUGUUAGCGGCGGACGGGUGAGUAACACGUGGAUAACCUACCUAUAAGACUGGGAUAACUUCGGGAAACCGGAGCUAAUACCGGAUAAUAUUUUGAACCGCAUGGUUCAAAAGUGAAAGACGGUCUUGCUGUCACUUAUAGAUGGAUCCGCGCUGCAUUAGCUAGUUGGUAAGGUAACGGCUUACCAAGGCAACGAUGCAUAGCCGACCUGGGAGGGGGUUCGGCCACACUGGGACUGAGACACGGUCCUGACUCCUACGGAAGGCAGCAGUAGGGAAUCGUCCGCAAUGGGCGAAAGCCUGACGGAGCAACGCCGCGUGAGUGAUGAAGGUCUGCGGAUCGUAAAACUCUGUUAUUAGGGAAGAACAUAUGUGUAAGUAACUGUGCACAUCUUGACGGUACCUAAUCAGAAAGCCACGGCUAACUACGUG